GGAAAUUUGUACUCGUACGGUGGUGGAGAUUUCUCACAUUUUGGUGGUGGUGGUGGAGAUUUGCACUCGUAUGGAGGUGGUGGUGGUGGAGAUUUCUCAAAUUUUGGUGGUGGUCGUGGAGAUUUGUACUCGUAUGGAGGUGGAGACUUCUCGCAUUUUGGUGGUGGUGGUGGUGGUGGUGGGGAUUUGUAGCAGUAAGGAGGUGCAUUAGGAGGGCAUAAACGAUUUGGAAACCACCAGGGCCUUCUCAGCCAUGGCCUCCAACAGAAGAAAUCGAUCGUGCUCUUGGGAAUUCCAAAGCCAAAGUUCUUGGCAUCCCCCCUGCAUUUCGAUCCAAAACCUCCUGAAAUCCAUCAGACCUGACAGCAGAAACCAGGAGAAGCAGCAAAAGCAUGCUGCAUGACUUGAAGAAAUUCAUC
rnacentral:lncRNA from 1 species